rnacentral:rRNA from 1 species
GUGCCAGCCGCCGCGGUAAUACGUAGGGUGCAAGCGUUAUCCGGAAUUAUUGGGCGUAAAGAGCUCGUAGGCGGUUUGUCACGUCUGCUGUGAAAACUGGAGGCUCAACCUCCAGCCUGCAGUGGGUACGGGCAGACUAGAGUGCGGUAGGGGAGAUUGGAAUUCCUGGUGUAGCGGUGGAAUGCGCAGAUAUCAGGAGGAACACCGAUGGCGAAGGCAGAUCUCUGGGCCGUAACUGACGCUGAGGAGCGAAAGCAUGGGGAGCGAACAGGAUUAGAAACCCGAGUAGUCC